rnacentral:rRNA from 1 species
UACGGAGGGUGCUAGCGUUGUUCGGAAUCACUGGGCGUAAAGGGCGUGUAGGCGGUCUGUUAAGUCUGAUGUGAAAUCCCCUCGCUCAACGAGGGAACUGCGUCGGAUACUGGCAGACUUGAGUACCGGAGAGGAAGGUGGAAUUCCAGGUGUAGCGGUGAAAUGUGUAGAGAUCGGGAGGAACACCGGUGGCGAAGGCGGGUCUCCGGGCAAUUCCUGACGCUGAGGCGCGAAAGCGUGGGGAGCAAACGGG